rnacentral:rRNA from 1 species
UUAAAUGGCCGCAGUAUUUUGACUGUGCAAAGGUAGCAUAAUCAUUAGUUUCUUAAUUAGAAGCUGGAAUGAAAGGUUGAACGAAAAAAUAACUGUCUCUUUAUAAAUUUAUUUGAAUUUUAUAUUUAAGUUAAAAAGCUUAAAUUUUUUUAAAAGACGAGAAGACCCUAUAGAGUUUUAUAUAAUUUUUUAUAAUAAGUUUAUUUUUAAUUAUAAAAAUUUUAUUUAGAAUUAUAUUUAGUUGGGGUGAUUGAAAAAUUUAAUAAACUUUUUUUUUAUUAAACAUUUAUAUAUGAUUAAUUGAUCCAUUAUUAAUGAUUAAAAGAUUAAAUUACCUUAGGGAUAACAGCGUAAUUUCUUUUUAGAGUUCUAAUCGAUAAAGAAGUUUGCGACCUCGAUGUUGGAUUAAAAUAUAGUUUUGGUGUAGCAGCUAAAAUUUUAGGUCUGUUCGACCUUUAAAAUUUUACAUGAUCUGAGUUUAAACCGGUGUAAGCCAGGUUGGUUUCUAUCUUUAAAUAAUUAAAAUAUUUUAGUACGAAAGGACCAAAUAUUUAAAAUAUUUUUUAAAUAUUGAAUAAUAGUAAUUA